UCGGGGGUCCCAGUUCCGAACCC
rnacentral:siRNA from 1 species